rnacentral:rRNA from 1 species
AUAGCUGGUUCUCUCCGAAAUAGCUUUAGGGCUAGCCUCGCAAAGAGGAUGCUGGAGGUAGAGCUCUGUUUGGACUAGGGGCCCGUCAAGGGUUACUGAAUUCAGAUAAACUGCGAAUUCCAGACAUUUAUGUGCGGGAGUCAGACUGCGAGUGAUAAGAUCCGUAGUCGAAAGGGAAACAGCCCAGAUCACCAGUUAAGGUCCCAAAAUUCAUGCUAAGUGGAAAAGGAUGUGGAGUUGCGCAGACAACUAGGACGUUGGCUCAGAAGCAGCCAUCAUUCAAAGAGUGCGUAAUAGCUCACUAGUCGAGUGACGCCGCGCCGAAAAUUUACCGGGGCUAAGCAUGAUACCGAAACUGUGGAUGUGCGUUUAUGCACGUGGUAGGAGAGCGUUCUAGCGGCGGUGAAGCAUGACCGAGAGGACAUGUGGAGCUUCUAGAAGUGAGAAUGCCGGUAUGAGUAACGAAAGACAGGUGAGAAUCCUGUCCGCCGCAAGACUAAGGUUUCCUGGGGCAGGCUCGUCCGCCCAGGGUAAGUCGGGACCUAAGGCGAGGCCGAGAGGCGUAGUCGAUGGACAACAGGUUGAAAUUCCUGUACUGCACCGAAUCGUUAUGAGCGAUGGAGGGACGCAGGAGGCUAGCAGCGCGUGGUGCUGGAUACCACGUUCAAGCGUCAAGUCUGAGAGCGAGUCAAAUGCUUGCUCUCAUAAGGACAAGGCGUGAUGAGGAGCGAAAUUAAAGUAGCGAAGGCUGCGACGUCACACUGCCGAGAAAAGCUUCUAGCCAGAGACGGUGCACCCGUACCGCAAACCGACACAGGUAGUCGAGGAGAGUAUCCUCAGGUGAGCGAGAGAACUCUCGUUAAGGAACUCGGCAAAAUGGCCCCGUAACUUCGGGAGAAGGGGCGCUGGUCGCAAGAUCAGCCGCAGUGAAAAGGCCCAAGCAACUGUUUAUCAAAAACACAGGCAUCUGCAAAAUCGUAAGAUGAAGUAUAGGUGCUGACACCUGCCCGGUGCUGGAAGGUUAAGAGGAGAGCUUAGCGCAAGCGAAGGUUUGAAUUGAAGCCCCAGUAAACGGCGGCCGUAACUAUAACGGUCCUAAGGUAGCGAAAUUCCUUGUCGGGUAAGUUCCGACCUGCACGAAAGGUGUAAUGAUUUGGGCACUGUCUCAACGAGAGACUCGGUGAAAUUAUAAUACCCGUGAAGAUGCGGGUUACCCGCGACAGGACGGAAAGACCCCAUGGAGCUUUACUGCAGUUUAAUAUUGGGUAUCUGUCAAGCAUGUACAGGAUAGGUAGGAGCCGGAGAAGAUAGGACGCCAGUCUUAUCAGAGGCGCUGUUGGGAUACUACCCUUGCUUGACGGAUGCUCUAACUCAGGCCUGUGAUCCAGGCCGAGGACAGUGUUUGACGGGCAGUUUGACUGGGGCGGUCGCCUCCUAAAGUGUAACGGAGGCGCCCAAAGGUUCCCUCAGAAUGGUUGGAAAUCAUUCGCAGAGUGUAAAGGUAAAAGGGAGCUUGACUGCGAGAGAGACAACUCGAGCAGGUACGAAAGUAGGGCUUAGUGAUCUGGUGGUACCGUAUGGAAGGGCCAUCACUCAACGGAUAAAAGCUACCCUGGGGAUAACAGGCUUAUCUCCCCCAAGAGUUCACAUCGACGGGGAGGUUUGGCACCUCGAUGUCGGCUCGUCGCAUCCUGGGGCUGAAGUCGGUCCCAAGGGUUGGGCUGUUCGCCCAUUAAAGCGGCACGCGAGCUGGGUUCAGAACGUCGUGAGACAGUUCGGUCCCUAUCCGUCGUGGGCGUAGGAAAUUUGAGAGGAGCUGUCCUUAGUACGAGAGGACCGGGAUGGACGCACCGCUGGUGUACCAGUUGUCUUGCCAAAGGCAUCGCUGGGUAGCUAUGUGCGGACGGGAUAAGCGCUGAAAGCAUCUAAGUGCGAAGCCCCCCUCAAGAUGAGAUUUCCCAUUUCUUCAAGAAAGUAAGACACCUCAGAGACGAUGAGGUAGAUAGGCCGGGAG